rnacentral:rRNA from 1 species
AUAAGUUACAAAGGGCGUACAGUGGAUGCCUAGGCACCGAAAGACGAAGAAGGACGCGACUACCUGCGAAAAGCUGCGGCGAGUUGGACGUAAACUUUGACCCGCAGAUGUCCGAAUGGGGAAACCCGAUAUGCUAACUACAUAUCAUACGAGCGGUGAAUACAUAGCCGCCGUAAGGCAACCCAGGGAAUUGAAACAUCUUAGUACCUGGAGGAAAAGAAAGAGAAUCGAUUCCGUCAGUAGCGGCGAGCGAAAGCGGAAGAGCCCAAACCAAGAAAUUGGGGUUCGGGGUUACAAAGAAUCAUGACGAAGAAGAAGAAGUGUUUGGAAUGGCACAUCUAAGAGGGUGAAAAUCCCGUAUUCGUAAGAGAGUCAUGGUCGUAACUACCAGAGUAGGGCGGGGCACGUGAAACCCUGUCUGAAUGAGCGGAGACCACUCCGUAAGGCUAAAUACUCUUCGGUGACCGAUAGUGAACCAGUACCGUGAGGGAAAGGUGAAAAGAACCCCGGGAGGGGAGUGAAAAGAAUCUGAAACUGUAUGCUUACAAGAUGUCAGAGACCGUUAAAGGUUGAUGAUGUGCCUAUUGAAGAAUGAGCCGGCGAGUUAUGUAUACAUGCGAGGUUAAGGAGAAGAUCCGGAGCCGUAGCGAAAGCGAGUCUGAAUAGGGCGUUCAGUAUGUGUAUGUAGACCCGAAACCCGACGAUCUAGCCAUGAUCAAGAUGAAGUAAGGGUCAAACCUUAUGGAGGUCUGAACCGACGUUCGUUGAAACGACCGCGGAUGAAUUGUGGCUCGUGGUGAAAUUCCAAUCGAGUCGGGUAAUAGCUGGUUCUCCUCGAAAUAGCUUUAGGGCUAGCCUCAGAACACUACAUUUUGGAGGUAGAGCACUGAAUGAAAGCGAGCCGCGCCAAGCGGUAUCAAUUUCAAUCAAACUCCGAAUUCCGAGAUGCUUAUUCUGGGAGUCAGACUGUGGGAGAUAAGUUUCAUGGUCAAAAGGGCAACAGCCCGGACCGCCAACUAAGGUCCCUAAAUUCGCGCUAAGUGUUAAAGGAUGUAGAGAUACUUAAACAGCUAGGAUGUUGGCUCAGAGGCAGCCAUCAUUUAAAGAAUGCGUAACAGCUCACUAGUCAAGUGUCUCCGCGCCGAAAAUUUACCGGGGCUAAGCGCGAUACCGAAGUUGCGGAUAUUUCUAAAGAAAUGUGGUAGGGGAGCGUUCCAUUAGCAUAGAAGCCAUACCGGAAGGAGUGGUGGAGCGAAUGGAAGUGAGAAUGCCGGCGUAAGUAACGAUAAGAGGUGAGAAUCCUCUUCACCAUUUGACUAAGGUUUCCUGGGCUAGGUUCGUCCACCCAGGGUCAGUCGGGACCUAAGACGAGGCCGAAAGGCGUAGCCGAUGGACAGCAGGUUAAUAUUCCUGAACCCGGUUGUGUGCGAUCGCAGUGACGAAAGCGGUUAGGUUUACCCACGAAUGGAAGUGUGGGGAGAUAGUGAUAAGCUGUCGGCUAGAAUCCGACACCAAGUGAAACACCGAAGUACGAAAGGGGUGACCUGAGUAGGAAGUAGCUGAUACCGAUUUCCAAGAAAAGCUGCUAGCUUAAGCACAAUCGGCCCGUACCGAGAACGGACACACGUGGUCAAGGAGAGUAUCCUAAGGUGAGCGAGAUAACUGUUGUUAAGGAACUCUGCAAAAUUACUUCGUAAGUUAGCGAGAAGAAGUGCUCCGUAAAAGGAGCCGCAGUGAAGAGGCCCAAGUAACUGUUUACCAAAAACACAGCUCUAUGCUAAGUCGUAAGACGAUGUAUAUGGGGUGAAGCCUGCCCGGUGCCGGAAGGUUAAUAGGAGAGGUGAAAGCUUUGAAUUGAAGCCCCGGUGAACGGCGGCCGUAACUAUAACGGUCCUAAGGUAGCGAAAUUCCUUGUCAGGUAAGUUCUGACGUGCACGAAUGGUUUAAUAAUUUGGGCGCUGUCUCGACAGCAGACUCGGUGAAAUCUUAAUACCGGUGAAGAUGCCGGUUACCCGCGACUAGACGGAAAGACCCCAUGGAGCUUUACUACAACUUAAUAUUGAGUAAUUGCAAAUCAUGUAGAGGAUAGGUGGGAGGCUAUGAAGUAAUGGCGCUAGCUAUUAUGGAGCCGCCCUUGGAAUACCACCCUUGAUUUACAGUUAUUCUAACUUCCUCCCUGGAUGGGAGGGAAGACAGUGUUAGGCGGGUAGUUUGGCUGGGGCGGCCGCCUCCCAAAUAGUAACGGAGGCGCCCUAAGGUACCCUCAGUAUGGUCGGAAAUCAUACGUAGAGCGCAAAUGCAUAAGGGUGCUUGACUGCGAGACACACAGGUCGAGCAGGUACGAAAGUAGGGAUUAGUGACCAGGCGGUUUCAUUGUGGAAUGGCCGUCGCUUAACGGAUAAAAGCUACCCUGGGGAUAACAGGCUGAUCGCGUCCAAGAGUUCACUUCGACGACGCGGUUUGGCACCUCGAUGUCGGCUCAUCACAUCCUGGAGGGGCAGUACCUUCCAAGGGUUAGGCUGUUCGCCUAUUAAAGUGGUACGCGAGCUGGGUUCAAAACGUCGUGAGACAGUUUGGUCCCUAUCUGUCGUGGGCGUAGGAAGUUUGAAAGGAUCUGACCCUAGUACGCAAGGACCAGGUUGGACGUAACUACGGUACACCGGUUGUUUCGCCAGAAGCAUAGCCGGGUAGCCGCUUACGGAUCGAAUAAACGCUGAAAGCAUCUAAGCGUGAAAUCGUCCUUAAGAUGAGACUUCCGAUUCUAACGAAUUAAGAUCCCUUCUAUGUUAGGAGGUUGAUAGGUCACAGAUGUACGCAUAGUGAUAUGUUUAGUCGAGUGAUACUAAUAGAUCGAUCACUUAUUUCA